CCUCAUCACCGUUUUGCUGAAGUUACACUGGCCGAGGCUGUACUGUCUGGAUCCAGUCAGGCACCCAGACCAUCGGGUUUUGGCCACGAGCUGGGACCACUGGGAAGCGGCCCUCCACGCGGACCAUGAGACCCAUGCCAAGGCCGUGAUCACUACUUUCUGGGUGAGUUCUCUUCAGAAGCACAAGUCCAUUCUAGUUUCAUGAAUGAUUUAACUCAUGGCUUCUUCCAUUCUUGUUUCAUGCAUGAUUGUAGAAAUUCUAUCGAGUUCUUCCAGAGCACAAGGCCAGAGCCAACCAGAUCGUGCUGCGCCAAUGCAAGAAGAAGGCCCGCCAGAUGCAGUACGAGGUGCGCUAUGUGGCCAUCUCGACAUACUAUCACGAUGCUUUUGGUGUGAAGAUGACCAAGGAAGAAGCGCGGAGGAUGGGCAUUACCUUGGAGAGGCACGAGUACUUGGCGGUGUGUCCAAAUUGGUGUUAUGGAAAAGACGACUCCUGGGCGGCAUUGGUGGAUCUUUGGUGUGAUAAGGAUGGAGCCUGGGCGGCUACGAGCAU